UACGGAGGGUGCAAGCGUUAUCCGGAUUCACUGUGUUUAAAGGGUGCGUAGGUGGGCAGUUAAGUCAGUGGUGAAAUCUCCGAGCUUAACUCGGAAACUGCCAUUGAUACUAUCUGUCUUGAAUAUCGUGGAGGUAAGCGGAAUAUGUCAUGUAGCGGUGAAAUGCUUAGAUAUGACAUAGAACACCAAUUGCGAAGGCAGCUUACUACCCGAAUAUUGACACUGAGGCACGAAAGCGUGGGGAUCAAACAGG
rnacentral:rRNA from 1 species